rnacentral:lncRNA from 1 species
UUGCUACUGAUUUCCAAAUUCUAACGGUAAUCCUAUAACAACCCCUUUUAAUAAUUGAAUCAAUCAUCCAUCCUCCUCAACUGACUAUUCUAUGGACUAUUAAUCUAUUUUAUCAAUAUCUUACAAAAACGAACUAAUAUCUAUUCUACAUAGCCCCACUCCUAUCUGUGCAGCAUUCUCGCAAACUUACAAUAAAUACCUAUGUAAAAACUACUUAAUAAAACUCUACAAAUUACUAGCUCCUCUUGUCCAUCCAAUUAAUCAUUUGUUACAUUAUCAAAUGUAGGUUCCACCAACUCUAGUUCUAAAUUCAAAUUUUCUUCCUCCUCCAAUCCGUCCAUUGGCUCCUUCCUCAAUUGAUUUAAUAGAUCUUCAUUAUAGUCACCCAAUUCAUGGAUUUGAGCCUCCAAUUUCAAGAUCUGGGCAUCACGAAUCUCUAACUAAUGCUACUGCUGACUUAUCCAUUUUGGAACAUCUUCAAUUGAUAUUCAAGACUGGCUUCUCAUUGUU